GGGUGGUAAUGCCGGAUGCUCCAGUUGGACGCAUGGUCUUCUGGGAAAGAUUCAGCGGUAUGGGAUGGGGUCGCGUCCUAUCAGCUUGAUGGCGGGGUAACGGCCCACCAUGGCUUCGACGGGUAGCCGGCCUGAGAGGGCGACCGGCCACAUUGGGACUGAGAUACGGCCCAGACUCCUACGGGAGGCAGCAGUGGGGAAUAUUGCACAAUGGGCGCAAGCCUGAUGCAGCGACGCCGCGUGCGGGAUGACGGCCUUCGGGUUGUAAACCGCUUUUGACUGGGAGCAAGCCCUUCGGGGUGAGUGUACCUUUCGAAUAAGCACCGGCUAACUACGUGCCAGCAGCCGCGGUAAUACGUAGGGUGCAAGCGUUAUCCGGAAUUAUUGGGCGUAAAGGGCUCGUAGGCGGUUCGUCGCGUCCGGUGUGAAAGUCCAUCGCUUAACGGUGGAUCCGCGCCGGGUACGGGCGGGCUUGAGUGCGGUAGGGGAGACUGGAAUUCCCGGUGUAACGGUGGAAUGUGUAGAUAUCGGAAAAAAACACCA
rnacentral:rRNA from 1 species